UGUGAACUGCAGGACACAUGAACACCGAUACGUUGAACGCAUAUUGCACAUCGCACGACACAGUGCGAUGUACACAUUUUUGAGUGCCCAUCCU
rnacentral:rRNA from 1 species